UACGUAGGGAGCAAGCGUUGUCCGGAAUCAUUGGGCGUAAAGCGCGCGUAGGCGGCCCUGUAAGUCCGUUGUGAAAGUCAAAGGCUCAACCUUUGAAAGCCGAUGGAUACUGUGAAGCUAGAGUACGGAAGAGGCGAGUGGAAUUCCUGGUGUAGCGGUGGAAUGCGCAGAUAUCAGGAGGAACACCAAUAGCGAAGGCAGCUCGCUGGGACGUUACUGACACUGAGGCGCGAAAGCGU
rnacentral:rRNA from 1 species